rnacentral:lncRNA from 1 species
AGUAGUUAACUCAUUACAAACUGGUUGUGCUAUAUCAGCGUCAAAUCAGAAUCUUGGGGAGGGUUGGAUUUUUUUUUUGGGGGGUUGGGGGUUGAAAAAUAAAUUUUCAUGCCUACAAGUACAUCAGUGUUAUCCCUUUUCUUCUGUUUCAGAUAAGAUUUAUCUCUUCUCUCCUCCCUCAAACCCAAAACUCUCUCUCUCUCUCUCAUCUUCAUCAGAUUUUUUUAUCUACCGAAUCUUCGAUUUCAGUGUGCUAAAGUGAUAGAUCAACUCAUCUACGCUCGUGAUCAAUCUUUCAUUUGAAAGUAAAUCGAUAAAAACCUCUAUGAUAUCGUUUCUCUUGGUUAUACCUCUGUAAUGGAUUUUAGGUAAGAUUUUUCAAUUUACUUGUAAAUUCCUCUCCUAAAGUGAUAGAUCGGGUCGUGGUGAGUAUACAUAUACGAGAUCUAUACUGAUUAGCCAAGUUAAUACUAAAGAAUAUAUAGAUGAGCAAUUUUAUCGAGGCACACACAUUCUAUUCACAUAAAGGAUAAAGGUGGUAAAUUAAAGUAGUUUGACAGACAAAUCUUACAACACAAACUGAUAUUCUAUCUUGUUGUAUGUAUUGUUGUAUUAAAUAUUUUUAAAUCCAUAUUUUUGGUUGAAUUAAACUCAUUAGUCUUGGACAAUUUUUUUUCUUCAUAUAGAUGAUCACUGAAUUAUUGAACAAGUAAAGAUAAAAAAUGUAAUUGAUGCAUUAA